CUACGGGGCGCUCCAGUGAGGAAUAUUGCACAAUGGAGGAAACUCUGAUGCAGCAACGCCGCGUGGAGGAUGACGCAUUUCGGUGUGUAAACUCCUUUUAUAUGUCAAGAAAAUGACGGUAGCAUAUGAAUAAGCUCCGGCUAACUCCGUGCCAGCAGCCGCGGUAAUACGGAGGGAGCAAGCGUUACUCGGAAUCACUGGGCGUAAAGGACGCGUAGGCGGGAUAGAAAGUCAGGUGUGAAAUCCUAUGGCUCAACCAUAGAACUGCACUUGAAACUUCUAACCUAGAGUAUGGGAGGGGAAGAUGGAAUUAGUGGUGUAGGGGUAAAAUCCGUAGAUAUCACUAGGAAUACCAAAAGCGAAGGCGAUCUUCUGGAACAAUACUGACGCUAAGGCGUGAAAGCGUGGGGAGCAAACAGGAUUAGAUACCCCGGUAGUC
rnacentral:rRNA from 1 species